rnacentral:rRNA from 1 species
AGCGAACGCUGGCGGCAGGCCUAACACAUGCAAGUCGAACGAACCUUUCGGGGUUAGUGGCGGACGGGUGAGUAACACGUGGGAACGUGCCUUUAGGUUCGGAAUAACUCAGGGAAACUUGUGCUAAUACCGAAUGUGCCCUUCGGGGGAAAGAUCUAUCGCCUUUAGAGCGGCCCGCGUCUGAUUAGCUAGUUGGUUGAGGUAAUGGCUCACCAAGGCGACGAUCAGUAGCUGGUCUGAGAGGAUGAUCAGCCACAUUGGGACUGAGACACGGCCCAAACUCCUACGGGAGGCAGCAGUGGGGAAUCUUGCGCAAUGGGCGAAAGCCUGACGCAGCCAUGCCGCGUGAAUGAUGAAGGUCUUAGGAUUGUAAAAUUCUUUCACCGGGGACGAUAAUGACGGUACCCGGAGAAGAAGCCCCGGCUAACUUCG